GGUAAUGCAAAGGAGCCAUUCAUCCAGGGAUGCUGGAGGUCUGGGCUCACCUGGGAAUGGAGAUGGCAACACCUACAUGUGACCUUUCCAGCAUGGCAGUCUCAGAGUGGAUAUGGCAACAGCUGCACAUGAACUCUCCGGCAUGGCAGUCUCAGAGUGGAUAUGGCAACAGCUGCACAUGACCUCUCCGGCAUGGCAGUCUCAGAGUGGAUAUGGCAACACCUGCACACGACCUCUCCGGCAUGGCAGUCUCAGAGUGGAUAUGGCAACACCUACACACGACCUCUCCAGCAUGGCAGUCUCAGAGUGGAUAUGGCAACAGCUACACAUGACCUCACCGGCAUGGCAGUCUCAGAGUGGAUAUGGCAACAGCUACACAUGACCUCACCAGCAUGGCAGUCUCAGGUUACUGGUACUUCUUAGGUCUCAGCUGAGGACUCCAGUGCAGGUGUUGCAAGACAGCAGACGUAGCACUGCUUAUGUGUAUCCUGAAGUCCCAUGUGUAUCCUGAAGUCCCAGAAAGCUGCUUCAAGUAGAUUCCAGUGGAGAAGGGAGUCACCAAGGCUGGACAGUCAUUUAUCCAUGGCAGGACUAGCAAAAAAAUCUGCACCAUCUCUCAUCGCACACACGUGGGCGCAGUCAACAGCAGUGGAAGAGCUGGCUCAUGUGUGGCUCAGGCUGACUCCACAAUCAGAGUGAUUAUGUGGAAAUCAAUCAGAAUUUUCUUCUUAGAAGAUGUUUGUUCUGACAUAAUGACUGACUUUCCAGCUAAUUUUUAUUCAUAGGCUUCUCCUUGCACAAUGAUCUCUAUUUCUCUCAAUGUUAUUCUGUGUCUUUCUUGCUUGCCUGCACAUUCUGAAAAAAAAAGGAAAGCAAUUCCCUACAUUUUAUUUUGAUACUUAAUGUUGUUUGCUAACAUAUUCAGAACACAAUGCAACUUUAUAUAUUAGAGCACUUAUAAUAUAUAUUAGGAAAACAUCAAUUAGGUACCACCAGUUAUUUUAGACAGGUAUCUCUUAGGUAAAAUGUGGUGAAAAUAGAGGGGCAAUGAUAGAAUUCAUAUGUGAAAGAGUCAAUUGGCCAUCAUUAUGCCAAAAUUAUUUUGUGGUUCAGGGGACAUUUUAAACUUUAAUUUUUAAGAAUUAAACUUUAAUUAAAUUUAUUGUAGUUUAAAUGCAAUCACAAGGAAAGACUCUGAACUGGAAACACCAAGCCAAGCUCUUUCCUAGUUCUGGUCCCCUAUAAACCCUGAAAGUUAAUGCAAUUAUUGUAAUUUUUAAACCACCGAGUUCUCAGGGUGAUUAGUUAUGCAGCAAUAGAUAGCCUGAAAAGGACCAUUCUUUCUGGCACUGAAAAUUAAGAAGAGUGAUUAACAACAUAAGAAUGUAGUUUGUGCUGUCUGCCACAGAUUUAUGUUGUAGCUUCAGUGAUUGCUUCAAAGCACCCUUACUAAUUGCCAGCCUAUUGCUGAUACCUAGCUAAAUUAGCAUGUGUUAGUUUUGAUACCACUAUAGGCAUUUAAAGGAUAGCUGAUACAUUCUAUAUAAAAUAUAAUUAUUUUCCUAUCUUUAGUUUAUCCUAAAGUAGCAGCUAUUAUAUUCGCUUCUUGAUUAGCUUUAUACAUAACCAGAGAAAGUAAAAUAUCACAGAGUAUAUUUGAAGACAUAAAAGUCUUUGGACAAAGCUCAAGUAAUGAAUCAGGAUGCUAUUACAUCCUCCACAUGACAGUAAAUAUAUUUUAUAUUCCUAAAUUUUAAGCUUUUAACAAAAGCAAAUUUUAUACUGGACUAUUUCAAUUUCUAGGGAAAGGAAAUUAUCAUUUACUGUCUUUGAGGCUAUAAUCUAUUUAGCCAUUAUUUUUAUAUUGAUCAAUUUAUAAUAAAGGUAAGAGAAAAUACUACCACAUAUAUGUUGUUUAUAUAAUUUUAACUUUCAUAAUUAAAAUACUGGGUAUACUGCAAGAUGUCAAUAUUUAUAAUAGCUUAUAUUUGGAAACAAUUAUACUUUAUAUACUCCUA
rnacentral:lncRNA from 1 species